UCGAGAAUCUUCCGCAAUGGACGCAAGUCUGACGGAGCAAUGCCGCGUGCGGGAUGAAGGCCCUCGGGUUGUAAACCGCUGUCAGUAGGGAGGAAAUUUUGACCGAUCUACAGAGGAAGUCCGGGCUAAGUACGUGCCAGCAGCCGCGGUAAUACGUACCGGACAAACGUUAUUCGGAAUCACUGGGCUUAAAGAGUACGUAGGCUGCCUUGUAGGUGAGAUGUGAAAUCCCACGGCCCAACCGUGGAACUGCGUUUCAAACCACAAGGCUUGAGGAAGACAGGGGUGAGCGGAACUGAUGGUGGAGCGGUGAAAUGCGUUGAUAUCAUCAGGAACACCGGUGGCGAAGGCGGCUCACUGGGUCUUUUCUGACGCUGAGGUACGAAAGCUAGGGUAGCGAACGGGAUUAGAUACCCCCGUAGUCC
rnacentral:rRNA from 1 species